rnacentral:misc_RNA from 1 species
GGAAUUUGAUUAUUUUUCUCCUUUGGGUCUUUAGAUUUUUAUGUAGAGGGAAAAACUGAUAACUUCCAAUAUUAACUUCUGUCUAUCAGGAAAAGUGUGGUGUUUUAAAAGUUAAACUCAGAAAACCAGCACGGCAAAAUAUCAAACCAUAGGCUACUCAUCUAUAGUAGAAAACUUAUCACCACUUGCUGCAUUGUAGCACACACAAAUAAG